CCUUAAUUGGUAUUAAAAUGUUUUAAAUAAUUCUUUCAGAGAUCUUAAAAAUGUUAACACAUCGUAAAUAGGAUUUUAUGAUUGUAAUUAUUUUCAAAUCUUAAAAUAAUUGGUAACCUUUAUUAUUUUUUUAUUAUUUAUCGAAUGGCUCUCGCUAUAACAUCACACGAUCCUGAUAGUGGAACCAAUAAAAGCGAUUGUUGCCGCCGGGACCAUCAGAGGAGAUGCAAGUCGUUCAUGUAGCGCUAGCAGUCACUUUAUCUUGAACAACAUGGGAAAGUGUAAAUUCAACAAAAAUUGGCUGUACAACCAAGAUUUUUCUGCAUUGCUGAAACCAGUAUCAAGGAAUGUGUAUGAGGUACGGUGUAUUUUGUGCAAGAAAUGUUUCAAACUUUGCACGAAGGUAAUCAAGGGAGCGGGGUCAUACAUGCAAAGUGUAGAACACAAAGCAUCAAAAUCAAGUUCACAACAAGCAGCAGGUAUUUCCCAGUUCGGUUCCACUCUCGUCUCUACAUUGCCUCCACAGCCUUCUCUGAUAUCAACAGCAGCACCACAUCUCCGUGCAAUGUUUGGCGGUACGCCUACAAACAGAGGAAUUUUGGACUUUGAACACUGUGACAAAACACCAAUCAUACAAGUGAAAGUCAAAUGAAGGAGUUGGAGACAUGUACCGUGCAGUGUUCCCAGACUCUGAAAUUGCCCACUCAUUUGCAUACGGUUCCAACAAGAUGGCCUACAAAAGCAAGUUUGGACUAGCCUUGUACAUUUUAGAGCAACUUGUUGCAGAAGCUAACAACAACGUUUUAAUGUUUGAUGAGAGCCUCAACCAGACCACAAAAACAAAACUACUAGAUCUGCAUUGGUGCAAAGACUAUGUCCAAGAUAUUUGGGAUUGCAGUUUGAGACAUGGAACAGCCCAGGAUCUACUACACCAUUUCAACCUGCUUGAGGCAAGGCAGAGUGUGCUAGAAGUAGAGGAGCUUGCAUUUUGGAAAUGGGUCACCAUUGAUCUCAUGUCAGAUGAGGAAAAUGGCAGCUUCGAGUGGGUUUCUGGUUGGAUUGUGCGGCCUCCACGUUUCCGCAGCCAGGAGCUCAGUGACCUCUGUUUGAAAUUACAGAAAAGACUGGAGGCAGAUCCAAAGUACUGUGUGUCUCAUCACAGGUGUCUGCACAUUGAGGAAUUUCCUGCAAGAACACCACCUUUACAUGAUCCAGAACUGGACAGGUUUUUUUACCUCUUCUGUUUAAUUUCAUGUUUUAUUUUGUUUUGUUUUUUAAUAAAGUGAGUGAAGCAUG